UACGUAGGGGGCGAGCGUUGUCCGGAGUUACUGGGCGUAAAGGGCACGCAGGCGGUGCGGCGCGUUUCGCGUGACAGCGGAGGGCUUAACUCUCCGAGGAUGCGAAAGACGGCGGCACUUGAGGGCCAGAGAGGGACACGGAAUUCCGGGUGGAGUGGUGAAAUGCGUAGAGAUCCGGAGGAACACCGAAGGCGAAGGCAGUGUCCUGGCUGGUGACUGACGCUGAGGUGCGAAAGCAUGGGGAGCGAACAGG
rnacentral:rRNA from 1 species